UGUAGUCAAGCUCAGUGGUAGAGCGCUUGCCUGGCAUGUGCAAGGCCCUGGGUUUGAUUCCCAGCUCUGCAA
rnacentral:tRNA from 1 species